UUGUCGUGGAGGAUGAGGAUUUCCUUGUCCUUCUUGGUUCAUUAAGGAAGGUUUCUGGAUUCUGCUCCUUGUGUCUAGCCUGUACCUCCGGCUUAUCACUACGAGUGUUUAGGCUCUAAGGGACCCUGUGACCCGACGAUCCCCUCGUGUGACUGCUGCGGGAAUUGUGGUAGAUUGAAUGAAUGGUCCCGGUGCGUCACCCCACCUGUCGUCAUGGCAUCGUCCCGGGUGGAGUACUAUUUCCUGCCCCUUGGUUUGGGGUGUGGCCAAGUGACUUGCUUGGACCAAUGGAAUGGGACUGUCGUUAGUUCUGAGCCAAGGCCUGAGGAAACCUCGCCUGCUUCCAGAUCCUCCUAUCGUCUCCGCUUUCAUUUGAGAAGGACAUGCCCGCCCAGGCUGCUGGUCCAGGAGGGGAGCCGCGUGGAGCAGAGUUGGCCCAGCCAACCCCCCAGGCCCGUGCUGCGAAACAGAGCCGCUGCUGCCAAGCCAGGCCUCGUCUGGAUCCGCCAAACCCCAGCCGCCCCCGAUCUGCGGUCAGCACCACAACAUCCUGCCACAUCGUACAACAUGGUUCACUGUCGUGUGCUGCCGAGAUGGUGGGCAGGCCGGGGAGGAAAUGUGACUCAUUCACCCGUGGUCCCACAGCUGGAUCGAGUCAAAGGCAAAUCGAGAGCCCCUGUCCUUGGCAGCCGUACCCCAGGAUUUUUGUGCACAUGUGGACAAGGCUGCUUGGUCGUAGGUCCUGGAGCUCUUGGAAAAUGCAGCUUGUACAAAUCAUUGCGAGAAAGCAGAUGAAACUUUACAUGGCCCCGGGGAUGAAUGAUCUAACGGGGACGGUUCCACUGCUGGUUUGAAGGGAGUUCACACCAGCUGUUGCACCCCCUCUUGUCCUCCUCUCUGACAGCUGUGGCGUUCCCUGGGAUGAUGGGUUGAAGGAGUUUGGGAGCCGCUCCAAAUAGCACCUUCGAGAACCAGCGCUCGCGCAGCCCUGAAGGCCAGCGAUGUGUGGAGUGGGGGUUCGGCCCUCUUCUAGACAAGCAGAAGGGCUGAGCCCCUCCCUCGGCACCCCCAGGCCCAGCUGGCCUCUGCGGGCAGCACAGGGAAGACCGGAGAGAGAGACUGCCCCACACCCCACGUUUAGAGCUCUGCCCUUUCACACUCACGGCCCCUGAGACGCAGGUGGCUGGCAGAGGCGGACGUGGAAGGGAGGUCACACCGGAGGCUUUCGCUUCCAUCACCCAUUUACACCACCCUGUAAGUAAAGGCUCCCGCCACCCUCUCCAGGACUUGGCACUUCGGACCUGUCUCCCCAUGGCCUGCAGAGAAGGAAUGCUGGGCCUGAUUAGAACGCCAACAGCCGACAGAAUUUCUGCGUAUUAUCUUUUCUUACCAGCGACUGCGGUGGCUGCCUGCCUCCUGGCAUAAGUCCGGAGCCUUUAUCAUGCUAAAGGAGUCUCUUCUCUCCACCUGUAAAACCUCCUGUCUUGAUAGGGGCUUGGGCUCCAGACAGAGGCUGGGUGUGAGAAAUGCCGGAAGGAAAAGCCCACGCUGCCAUAUAAUGGUGGAUAUUUGAUAUGUGACCAGUAUCUGCCUCCAUUCUAUAUUAUCCGUCCACGGAAGGGAGAGAUCCCAUCGCUCAUUCCCUGUCGUGCGCCUAGCCCAGACCACGGUGCCAGGCACAUAAGCAGCAUCAGUGAGCAUUAUAUGAAUGAAUGGAUGGAUGGAUGGAUGAAUGAACGCGAGCACGAACACAGCUGUUCUGGGAGAGAGCUCACAGGCAGCAUCUUUGCAUACGCAGCCUGACAUGGUUCAGCAUGUCAGACCCAGGCCUGUGGGUCCUUUGGCAUCUGGUUGAGGCCCCUCUGCCACUCCCCGUGGCAUCAUGCCACGCUAAGCUUGUCUCGACAGAUCAGUCACUGCUGAACUGACAUCUCUAUUGCCCAUGCCUCCCUCGUGACCGGAGGACACAGGAAAGAGACCGGGAAUGGUGGCGGCCAUGGCAAGGGCUCGAACUCACCUCUCCCCCCCUCACCCCCGCCAGGGCAGGCUCGGUCUCUCACUCCUGCCCAGUCCUUAUCCUGGAUUCGCUGGCGGGAGCUGGUGAGCUGGCAGCAUCUGCUCCUGUCUGGGACCAAGGCUGCCCAUCUAGUGCCUCGUGCCAGCUGGGCGGCUGAGCGAAGUCAGGAAUACAAAGGCGAGUCCAGACUGGCAGGUGCCACCGAUGGCCUAUGACAAGAGAGUCUGACGGGAGGCGUCUGAUAAGGGGAUCACGUGCUCCUUAUCCUCGCUCACUGCCACGAGAGGGAUUAUCUGAGUCCAGUUCAGAGAGGAUGCACAGAAAUGUUUCUGGGUGCUUCCGACUUGCCCGCUACACGUGUA